ensembl:lncRNA
GCUCACCAGCUUGCUGUGCCUCCAACAGGUCCGAUGGCUCUGAGGUGACCUGACUAGCUGAGCCAUGAAGGUUGCUGCAGGCACACCUGUGCAUGUGAGGUCUUGGGCUGUCCGGUUUCCUGGCCAGAGACCAUUUCCCAUGGGCCCGACUGGCCCCAGCCUCACUCCUGUCACCCAGAUAUCCAUUUCUGGAAAAUGGUGCCAACUGCCAGUCUUUCUCAUCAGCUGCCCAGCACUGUCCUCCACCACCCAGGGGAUCUCAAGCCUGUGACUGUUAAGUUAAAACCACAGUAGUAAUUCAGUAGAGGAAAACUGCUCCAUGAGGGCAAAAGAAAUUCCAAAAAGUCAGAAGUUUAAGGGACUGUGGCACUCGGCUUUGAGUCUGUACAAAAUGAAACAAAACCACCGGGACCUCUCCGUGAAGCCAGGGCGCUGGCUUUGGCCUCAGUGAGAAGGCGAGCAGGGGAAACUGAUCAGAGCCUCUAAUGUCUGCUAUCUCCUGGGGCUAAGGUCAGAUUCUCCUUACUCCAGAGGUCAAAGAAUACCUGGACUGAAGAAUUAAGAUGAUUCCAGGUUUGUAUUUCCUGGGAUCUGGCAGAAGCAAAAAUGCAAAUCCUGUAGAGAAGAAUAUUAAAACUACAAUCAUAUUAUUACAUAUCAACCAAGUGUAAGUUGUCCAUGAACUAAAGUUCGUAUCCAAGCAAAUGAGCUGUUACGAGCAAUAGCAGCACGAACAAUAAACUGAGUGCUCACCCCAGGUGGUGCUAGUGGUAACGAAACCGCCUGCCAAUGUAGGAGAUGGAGACGUGGGUUCGAUCCCUGGGUUGAAACCGCCUGCCAAUGUAGGAGAUGGAGACGUGGGUUCGAUCCCUGGGUUGGGAAGACCCCCUGGAGGUGGGUCUGGCAACCCACUUCCUGCCUGGAGAAUCCCAUGGACAGAGGAGCCUGGUGGGCUACAGCCCAUGGGGUUGCAAAGAGUCGGACAUGACUAAAGUGACUUAGCACACACGCACACAACUUGGGUUUGACCCAGAGGUGCCCGGGAGAGGACAGCCACCCCAGCAGUGUCUGGACUCUCCUGGCAGGGGCGAUGCUCCAGGACAUCUGUGCUGAGGCCAUUCGUCAAGCUUGUGAGGCCACCUGCUCAGAUGUAUGGUGUCGAAGGUCACUGCGCCAC